rnacentral:rRNA from 1 species
UCACCAGACUCCUACGGGAGGCAGCAGUGGGGAAUAUUGCACAAUGGGGGGAACCCUGAUGCAGCGACGCCGCGUGGGUGAAGGAGCACCUCGGUGCGUAAAGCCCUAUCGGCAGGGAAGAAACAGACGGUACCUGACUAAGAAGCCCCGGCUAACUACGUGCCAGCAGCCGCGGGAAUACGUAGGGGGCAAGCGUUAUCCGGAUUUACUGGGUGUAAAGGGGGCGCAGACGGCAGCGCAAGCCAGGAGUGAAAGCCCGGGGCCCAACCCCGGGACUGCAUUUGAAACUGUCAGGCUGGAGUGCAGGAGAGGUAAGUGGAAUUCCUAGUGUAGCGGUGAAAUGCGUAGAUAUUAGGAGGAACACCAGUGGCGAAGGCGGCUUACUGGACGGCAACUGACGCUGAGGCUCGAAAGCGUGGGGAGCAAACAGGAUUAGAUACCCCAGUA